AUUGAACGCUGGCGGCAUGCCUUACACAUGCAAGUCGAACGGUAACGGGCCUUCGGGUGCCGACGAGUGGCGAACGGGUGAGUAAUACAUCGGAACGUGCCCGAUCGUGGGGGAUAACGAGGCGAAAGCUUUGCUAAUACCGCAUACGAUCUACGGAUGAAAGCAGGGGACCGCAAGGCCUUGCGCGGACGGAGCGGCCGAUGGCAGAUUAGGUAGUUGGUGGGAUAAAAGCUUACCAAGCCGACGAUCUGUAGCUGGUCUGAGAGGAUGAUCAGCCACACUGGGACUGAGACACGGCCCAGACUCCUACGGGAGGCAGCAGUGGGGAAUUUUGGACAAUGGGCGCAAGCCUGAUCCAGCCAUGCCGCGUGCAGGAUGAAGGCCUUCGGGUUGUAAACUGCUUUUGUACGGAACGAAAAGCAUUCUUUUAAUACAGGAGGGUCAUGACGGUACCGUAAGAAUAAGCACCGGCUAACUACGUG
rnacentral:rRNA from 1 species